rnacentral:rRNA from 1 species
AUUGAACGCUGGCGGCAUGCCUUACACAUGCAAGUCGAACGGCAGCGGACCUUCGGGUGCCGGCGAGUGGCGAACGGGUGAGUAAAGCAUCGGAACGUACCUUUCAGUGGGGGAUAACUGUCCGAAAGGACAGCUAAUACCGCAUAUUCUGUGAGCAGGAAAGCAGGGGAUCGCAAGACCUUGCGCUGAUUGAGCGGCCGAUAUCAGAUUAGCUAGUUGGUGAGGUAAAGGCUCACCAAGGCGACGAUCUGUAGCGGGUCUGAGAGGAUGAUCCGCCACACUGGAACUGAGACACGGUCCAGACUCCUACGGGAGGCAGCAGUGGGGAAUUUGGACAAUGGGGGCAACCCUGAUCCAGCCAUGCCGCGUGAGUGAGAAGGCCUGGUGUAAG